rnacentral:misc_RNA from 1 species
UACGUAGGGUGCAAGCGUUGUUCGGAAUUAUUGGGCGUAAAGAGCGUGUAGGCGGUUCGGUAAGUCAGGUGUGAAAGCCCUGGGCUCAACCCAGGAAGUGCAUUUGAAACUGCCAGACUUGAGUACGGGAGAGGAGGGGGGAAUUCCCGGUGUAGAGGUGAAAUUCGUAGAUAUCGGGAGGAAUACCAGUGGCGAAGGCGCCCCUCUGGACCGAGACUGACGCUGAGACGCGAAGGCGUGGGGAGCAAACAGG